rnacentral:rRNA from 1 species
UCGGGAAUUUUGGGCAAUGGGCGAAAGCCUGACCCAGCCAUGCCGCGUGUGUGAAGAAGGCCUUCGGGUUGUAAAGCACUUUCAGCGAGGAGGAAGGGAGUUGUGUUAAUAGCACAGCUUCUUGACGUUACUCGCAGAAGAAGCACCGGCUAACUCUGUGCCAGCAGCCGCGGUAAUACAGAGGGUGCAAGCGUUAAUCGGAAUUACUGGGCGUAAAGCGCACGUAGGCGGUUUUUAAGUCAGAUGUGAAAGCCCCGGGCUCAACCUGGGAAUUGCAUUUGAAACUGGAAAACUAGAGUGUGUGAGAGGGGGGUAGAAUUCCAAGUGUAGCGGUGAAAUGCGUAGAGAUUUGGAGGAAUACCAGUGGCGAAGGCGGCCCCCUGGCACAACACUGACGCUCAGGUGCGAAAGCGUGGGGAGCAAACAGGAUUAGAUACCCCCGUAGUCCCUGAGCGGGCUGGCAAGGCGCAU